CGAAGAAAAAUUUCAUUUAUUUCAUUGAUAACUAGAAUGACUUACAUAAGUAGAGGAAAGAAGGACAUAACUUUUGCUGGUAAUAUUUUCUAAGUCUUCCAGCAUUCCAUGUGUUCUUUUCUUCCGAACCAUCCAUUUCUCGAAGCCGGUAUGUACCUGGCUUCUGCACUUCCAUCACUUCAUAGGGCCCCUCCCAGUUAGGCAUCAGCUUGCUAGUGUUCUGGGGGGUUGAUGCCUCCGACUCCCGAAGGACCAAAUCUCCUCUGCUUCACCUUCUGAUUAUAGUGUCGGACUGUUCACUUCUGGUAAAUUUCCAACCUUAUUAGAGCUGAAUCUCGAACUUUCUCCAAAAGGUCCAGAUUUAACCGUAAUCCAUGAUAAUUGUAUAACUCCUUAUAUUGGCUGACCCGAAGAGUAGGAGAUCUGUAGCGCCCCGAAUCCGGGUCCCGAAUCACCGCGGAUCCGGUUCGCUAUUUCUAUAACUGUUGCGGAAGAUAUAAACAUAAAUUGUUUAUACAUUAAACAUUAUACACUAUCCCCAAGGUCGAGUAACCAUAACUUAUACACAUUUCAUAACUUAUCUGACACAUGAUAUUAUCAUCAUACAAGACUAUUACAAAUCUAAUCGCGCAUAUUAACCCUAAGCUGGAUCUGUCUUUAACUUUCCUUGUAUCCGAAGCAUUCGUCUUUAUCUGUAAUGUUUUAUCAUGAUAUAACAAGGGUGAGCAUGAAAGUUGCCCAACAAGUUUAAAUACAAUUUAAGGAUAUAUCAUGAUUGAAAGAGUGAAUAAUAAGCUGGCUAUAAUUCACAAUGUAGUUGUGAAUUAGCAUGAACAAACCUUUGACUGAACAAGUAAUAAACAUGAACAAUAUAUAUCUGGACCAACUGGUAAUGAAGGUGAUCAGCCUUUCAUACCUGACUUAUACAUACAAGAUGUACAUAGUACAAUUCUACAUGGAAAUCAGUAACGAUUAACCAUAAGCAUAUCUGAAUGAAACACUCUUAGUAGAGUUAAGAAAAAUAAACUUG
rnacentral:lncRNA from 1 species